rnacentral:rRNA from 2 species
GAAAGAAUAUUGGGCAAUGGGGGAAACCCUGACCCAGCAACGCCGCGGGAAGGAAGAAGGCCCUCGGGUUGUAAACUUUUGUGACAGGGGACGAAAGAAAUGACGGUACCCUGAGAGGAAGCCCCGGCAAACUACGUGCCAGCAGCCGCGGGAAUACGUAGGGGGCAAGCGUUGUCCGGAAUCACUGGGCGUAAAGGGCGCGUAGGCGGCUAUGCAAGUCAAAUGUGAAAUCCCCGGGCUUAACCCGGGACGUGCAUAUGAAACUGCAGAGCUUGAGUUCGGUAGAGGAAAGUGGAAUUUCCAGUGUAGCGGUGAAAUGCGUAGAGAUUGGAAGGAACACCAGUGGCGAAGGCGACUUUCUGGGCCGACACUGACGCUGAGGCGCGAAAGCGUGGGGAGCAAACAGG